GUGAACAACAGACUGCUUGGUGAGGAGACCCAACUAAUAUGUGGCAGGAUUGGAGAUUUCCUUCAAUUAGUUUACAUCCAUACAAGUUUUCCUCCGCGAGGCUAAAGUCCAGGACUCUUCAGCUUCAUAGUCAGACGCAUCCCUUGAACAGCGGGACAGGAGAGAUGAAUGCUAAGAGCAGCAGCAGAGCUUCAGAGCUGCUCCUAUCUGCACAGGUCCUCAUGUGCUGAGUCUCGCUGAGGCUUCCUCUUCUUUACAUUGGACUUCACAGACUUGCUGCUCUGCUGGAUCUUGUUGGGGUUGUUGUGCGGCCCUUGAGUACUUUUGUUAGCGAGCUGCCGGCUCUGGAUAAAACACAAGAUGACAUUUUUAUUAGGGUUAUGAAACUCAAUUGUCAAUUUGAGUCAAUGAUUUAGAUGUAUUAAUUUCAAAUAUUAUUAAUUUAUAAAUAGAUCCCAGAUUAAUUAGGAAACUGGAAAACGAUAACACAUGAAACUUCAAAAUGCAUUAAAUUAAAAAUGUUAAAAGAGGAUUCAGAUAUGAGAUGUUCAUUUUAGAGUUAGCAUCAAACUAAAAUGUGAAAAAGUGAGUAUAUACACAAACAUACCUUAUGAAAGUUAUAUUUCAACAUUUGAUUGGUUCAUUAUUAUGAUGAAAUUGAAUUUUAUUUUAUUUUGAAUAAUUAAAAACUUACUGACAAAUGUGCAAUAUUGAGAGGAGAGUGGUAAUCAGGGAGUGACAUUAACACCAGCCCAAUGCUGGUAGAUUUUAGCUGUGA
rnacentral:lncRNA from 1 species